AUCCAGCUGACGAGUCCCAAAUAGGGCGAAUCGCGCGCUCUGUAU
rfam:Schistosoma margrebowiei strain Zambia genome assembly, scaffold: SMRZ_contig0000018